CCCUCUGCACAGGGGAGCAAUGGGAUGGAAGACAUCCUCCCUGUCUGCCAGCGUCUGCAUAUGUCCAUUGUGUUGGGUCGAGAAAGAGCACAAUGGGAGUGGCUGUCAGGGAAGAUAAGUGUCACUGCUAGGAAUAGGGAAAGAUGGGAAUAGUUGAGCCAUGAACUUGGUCCUUUGCUUUCCUCAAGCAUUUCGUGCCUGUCACUGUCUCUGAGGAAAGGAAAAUUGCCCACCGGAUACUAUCAGGCCCUAUAAUACUCGCGGUCAUGUGCUUUCGUCAAGGGUUUGUGAACACUUUCAGGUGAGGCAGAAAACGCUAUUGAAUUACCUCCCACCAGAUAUGAACUCAUGGCUUAAUGAUUUAGCUCAACACCUCCGGCCAGUGGGAAAGCCAAAAUCCACAUAGACUGGUUUAAACCAAAUAGAUCUGGCCAAAUAUUUUUGAGCCCAGCUUGUUUCAGGGUUUGCCAAACCCAGAUUCUGCAAAAACAAGUGGCAUGGAAGGCGGAGGAUGUGAAUGUUGGCCUGUGUCAGCCGACUCAAGACUACCAAGAGAUGACAGGGUAAAACGGAAGGCGUUAUUUUUACACCAGUUGGGCCUGGGGAGUAUCGUCCCCCUUGGGGGGAGGUGUUUCUAUCUCCAUUCAAAGCUGCCAAUAUCUAUGUUGCUUUGCCUUUUCUGGUACACAGAAACUCCAAGGAAGAAUAAUGUUUGCUUUUUCAGACACCC
rnacentral:lncRNA from 1 species